rnacentral:lncRNA from 1 species
AGGGUUUUCCUUGGUGAGGUUUUUAAUGAGGAAGUUCUUCAAGGUUCCAAGUUUGACUUAGGAUCAGCUAGAGUCAACCUUGAGGGGGAGUGUUAACUUGAAGAGAAGAAGUGGAGAAGCAAAAGUGAUGAGUUGAGUUGGUGCUUGUGCAAAGACAUGGUAAGAUCUUCAGAGACUGUAUGUUAAGGCUUUGGGAGAGUCUUAAGGCUUCAGAAGUGGUCUGAUGAGUGUGCAAAGAUAGGGUUAAGUCCAGGAGGGACUUAGACACCAUUUAGAGAAGAUUUGGGUCAGACAGUAACUCCAAAGUUACCACAGUAACUUUGGAGAGUUACCACAGUAAGAUUGGAGAAGUUUGGGCAAGUUGGUGUAAAAGUGAAUAGUGAAUCACUAGUCACUAUUCAGGUUGACUAUUCACUAUUUGAGUCACUAUUCAGGAUGUGAAGAGUGUGCAUAGUAUAUGGAUAAGGCACCAAGGUUUGAAUCUAGUCAAAGGGAAUCAAGAAGAUGCUUUGUGGAGGCAAACAACCAAUGGGAGCUUCCUUGUAUGUGAUUGGCUAGUUCUGGUCUUGGACAGGCUGUCUGUUGCUGUAAAGAGAAGGGAGCCACGACCAUGAACCGGGACAGAUGCAUGGGAAGAUUAAGAGGAGCCUAAGGAGAGCCAAUCACAAGCAAGAAGCCAGCUUGCCUUGGUUUGAAUUAAAGUGAGCCAGCUUAGCUUAUCCAAUCAGCACACAUCACUCAGAUUACAACAAGACCAACUCAUCCUCACCA